rnacentral:tRNA from 2 species
AAAGUAUGAAGUAAUAAUUACAUAUUAAUUUCGACUUAAUAAUAAGAGAAAUACUUCUCCUGCUUUU